rnacentral:rRNA from 1 species
UACGUAGGGGCCAAGCGUUGUCCGGAUUUAUUGGGCGUAAAGAGCUCGUAGGCGGUUCGGCAAGUCAGUUGUGAAAUCUCCGCGCUCAACGCGGAGGGGUCAGCUGAAACUGCUGUGACCUGAGUCUGGUAGGGGAGUGUGGAAUUCCCGGUGUAGCGGUGAAAUGCGCAGAUAUCGGGAGGAACACCCAUGGCGAAGGCAGCAAGCUGGGCGACACCUGACGCUGAGACGCGAAGGCGUGGGGAUCAAACAGG